rnacentral:lncRNA from 1 species
GAGAACCAGUCAGGGUUGAGAUAAUGGACUGGGAGCCCAGCCACAGCCAGGAGUCCCGGAGAGAGCCCAGGCAUGACCAGUCUCAAGGGACCUCUGUUCGGGAAGGCAAGACCGAUGUAGACAGCCAUCCGUUCCAGUGUCAAAUCCCACCUGCAGAGGAGCUGACCGGAGGGAUACAGGAUGGCUACGAUGGUUAAUUUUAUGUUUUAACUCGACUGGGCUAAGGGGUGCCCAGAGAGCUGGUAGAACAUUCU